UCUGGGAAAGUGGAGAAACAUCAUUGGGAACCAGGCUUCCUAGAUAAAGCUUCUAAGAUAAAGCAUGCUGACAUGCUUUAUCUUAGACUCAAGGGUCCUGGACAACAGCCUUCAGGUUUAGAAAUUCCAGUCCGGCCGGGCACGGUGGCUCACGCCUAUAAUCCCAGCACUUUAGGAGGCCGAGACGGGUGGAUCACGAGGUCAAGAGAUCGAGACCAUCCUGGUCAACAAGGUGAAACCCCGUCUCUACUAAAAAUACAAAAAUUAGCUGCGGAUGGUGGUGCGCGCCUGUAGUCCCAGCUAUUCGGGAGGCUGAGGCAGGAGAAUUGCUUGAACCCAGGAGGUGGAGUCUAGUCUGGGUAACAAGAGCAAAACUCCGUCUCAAAAAAAAAGAAAAAAGAAAGAAAAAAGAAAUCUGAGUCCAAGCCCCAGCCCUUCUCUCUCAUACCCAGAAAUCCAGACCCCCAGACACUGCCUCCCAUCUCAGAUCAAAGAGUCCAGACCCUCAGCCCCUCCUCUCUGAGACCCAGGGAUCCAGGCCCCCAGCAGCUCCUUCAGACCCAGAAGUCUGGCCCCCAGCCCCUUCUUCAGACCCAGAAGUCUGGCCCCCAGCCCCUUCUUCUGGGAGAUCUGGACUCCUAGCUUAGGUCCUCUUCUCUCUGACCCCUAGACUCCCUCUCCAGCUGUGUACUCCUCCCGCAGAGCUCAUAAGUCCGAGUCCCUAGCCCCUUGCCACUCAGGAACCCUGGCAUCCCACUCCCCCAGCUGCCUCUACUGCUCUGGUCCCCACCCCUGCUUCCUCCAGGGACCCAAGAGUCCUGUUACCCCAUACUCACAGGUACCAAGGAUGUUUCUGAAUUUGCUCCAGCUGUGAGGGUGGUGAGUCAUAGAGAAGCAGAAGUGAGGUGGUAUGCAUAUGCAGGCGCGCAAUGAAAGUUGACUGUCGCGGUUUUGGGGUCCCUCAUCAUCUCUCCGCCCACCCCACCAGGGGCAGGAUGACAUAGCACGUCGCCCUCUAGUGGUGACUGAGUGCAUCGCCCUCCGCACGCGCUGUGUCUACCCAGGACCCGCCGCAUUACUUCGCCGCAUGCGCAGUGGCAGCCUGUUAGUCUCCACACGCAUGCGCCCUCCCGCUGGGGCGCCCGCUUCAUUCUUGCGUAGACCCCUCCCCAGCUCGGAGCGGCAGCUUUCUUGGACCUUGGGUUGCGGCUCAGCUGGAGACCCCAGUCACCCCUAGGACUGACGGAGGCAGAGAUGGGACUGACGCAGCUGCAACUGAAGGACACCUGAUGCUAGAAGAGGCCAGGAAGGACCCUUCCCUAGAACCUCCAGAGGAAGCCGGGCCUUGCUGACACUUUUCUUUCUUUCCCUUUUGAAAUGGAGUUGCGCUCUUGUUGCCCAGGCUGGAGUGCAAUGGCACGAUCUUGGCUCACCGCAACCUCCGCCUCCCAGGUUCAAGCGAUUCUCCUGCCUCAGCCUCCCGAGGAGUUGGGAUUACAGGCAUGCACCAACACACUCGGCUAAUUUUUGUAUUUGUAGUAGAGACCGGGUUUCACCAUGUUGGCCAGGGUGAUCUUGAACUCCUGACCUUGUGAUCUGCCCACCUUGGUCUCCCAAAGUGCUGGGAUUACAGACGUGAGCCACUGCGUGCGGCCCCUAAUUUUUGUAUUUUUGUAUUUUUAUAGGGACGGGGUUUUACCGUGUUGGCCAAGCUGGUCUCAAACACCCAAACUAAAGUGAUCCACCUGCCUCAGCCUCCCAAGUGCUGGGAUUACAGGCAUGAGCCACUGCGCCUGGCUUAAUUUUUGUAUUUUUAGCAGAGACUGGAUUUCGCCGUGUUGGCCAGGCUGGUCUCGAACGCCCAGCCUCAAACUAUCCACCUGCCUUGGCCUCCCAAGUGCUGGGAUUACAGGCAUGAGCCAGUGCGCCCAGCCCCCUGCCUUGCUUUGAAUCCUUGCUCUGGGGCUUAUACCAGCAUGACCUCAGGCAAGUCACUGCUUGGCAAUGGGUCGUCUGAGCACCCACCUCACAGACUGCAUCAGAAUGACCUGCCGUAAUACAUUACAGUGCUGGGCCCACAGUCGGGGCUGUUACACACCGGCUGCGUGAUGCAUUCGACCAUUGAUCACACCUCUACUGCAUCCUGCAUUCUGAUGUAGCCACUAGCAAUGAAGCAGAGGACAAAAUCACAUCCCUGCCUGCCUGGAGCUCAGCCUAGGACACUGCCUGACACACGCUUGAUGCUCAAUUCAUAAGCAAAGGUGGAAUGAGCAGAGAAGCUGCAUUCCAGAGGGGACCGGUAACGAACAAAUGAACAGAGCAUAUGAGACCGAGGGAAUGCUUCUCAUCAGCAGGGCAAAGCUUGGAGGAGGAGGCAAGGUGAGCCACCAUGGAGGAGGUGGCAUUGUGAGCCCUUGAGGGCUUUUCUGGGUGUGGCAAGCUCUUGGUGGCCCCUGGUAUCUGAGGCCUGUGGACGGAGAAUAGGGAGAUACAGAGAAGGCACCUCUGAAUGCAGAUCUUGGAGUACGGAACCCUGGGCUUGACUUCUAGUUGCCUGAUGCUCUAGCAUGGAACCUCAGUUUCCUUUUCUCUGUUAAAUGGACAUAAUGAUCCUCCCAGGAAGGGUAUGCUAUGAAUUAAACAUUACAACAGGCUGCUCGUGGUGGCUCACACCUGUAAUCACAGCACUUUGGGAGGCGAAGUGGGAAGGAGCACUUGAAAUGAGGAGUUUGAGACCAGCCUGGCCAACAUGGAGAAACCCCGUCACUACUAAAAAUACAAAAAUUAGCCAGGCAUGAUCGUGGUCACUUAUAAUCCCAGCUACUCGGGAGGCUGAGGCAGGAGAAUUGCUUGAACCUGGGAGGUGGAGGUUGCAGUCAGCCGAGAUUGCGCCACUGCACUCCAGCCUGGGCGACAGAGCGAGACUCCAUCUCAAAAAAUAAAUUAUAAUAACAGCAACAACAAUACAGUUGAUUCUUGUUAUUCUCGAGAGUUCUGUUCUAUAAAACCACAAACUCUCAACCAGUCACGGCUACUGGAUGAAAUAUAAUUAGGUUCCUUCAACCCUCUGGUCACAUUUUUGUCAACCAGUCAUUACAUAACCUCGUUUGUACGUGUUUCUGUUUAAAGACGCCUUUCCCAUAUACUGUGUCAUUGACACUGAACUCACGGCACGCCCAUCACAGGGGUUUUCUCCAUAAGGGACAUCACAGCCUCCCGCGCUCGGGAAUGCUAGAUGGCACUUCAGAAGCACUUGGCUUCCUGGUCAUUUUUAAACAGUGAAAUCGGCUGGGUGCGGUGGCUCACGCCACUAAUUCCAGCGUCACAGCACUUUGGGAGGCCCAGGUGGGCAGAUCAGGUGAGGUCAGGAGAUCAAGACUAGCCUGAUCAACAUGGUGAAUCUCGUCUCUACUAAAAAUAAAAAAGAUUAGCUGGGCAUGGUGGUGUGCGCCUGUAAUCCCAGCCACUGUGGAGGCUGAGGCAGGAGAAGUGCUGGCACUUGCGAGGCGGAGGUUGCAGUGAGCCCAGAUUGCGCCACUGCACACCAGCCUGGGCGAGAAGAGUGAAACUCCGUCUCAAAAUAAAAAUUAACUAAUUAAUUAAUUAAAACCCUUACAAUGAUAGGUACUAGGCUUACUUCCAUGGGAUAGGUGAGGACACUGAGCGAAGGUGAGGACACUGAGAGAAGCCUACCAAGCAGCUGGGAUGACAGGUGCCGGCCACCACACCUGGCUAAUUUUGUAUUUUUAGUAGAGAUGAGGUUUCUCCAUGUUGGUCAGGCUGCUCUUGAAUUCCCGACCUCAGGUGAUCCGCCCACCUCAGCCUCCCAGAGUGCUGGGAUUACAGGCAUGAGCCACCGCACACGACCUUUAUUUAUUUAUUUUUUGAGACGGAGUCUCACUCUGUUGCCCAUGUUGGAGUGCAGUGGCAUGAUCUCGGCUCACUGCAACCUCCGCCUCCCGGGUUCAAGUAAUUCUUCUGCCACAGCCUCCCAAGUAGUUGAAAGUACAGGUGUGUGCCACCAUGCCUGGCUAAUUUUUACAUUUUUAGUAGAGACAGGAUUUCCCCAUAUUGGCCAAUCUGGUCUUGAACUCCUGACCUCGUGAUCUUCCCACCUCGGCCUCCCAAAGUGCUAGGAUUACAGGCAUGAGCCACCAUGCCCGGCCCUGGGCUUUCAGCCACCAAGUGAAGAAGGGCUGAGUUACGAAUGUUUUUAGCUGGUCUCCAGAGCACCUUGGCUGCUCUCCCCAUGGAGCACUGAGCCCCAGGAAGGCAGCUUGGAGCUGGCCUCAUUGCCUCUACUGUCUGUCAUGUAGCCUGGUGGUUAAGAGACGAAGGACUGACCCCAGGCCUGCUGCUUAUCAGCUGCAUGCCCACGGGCCCAUCACUUCCCCUCCUCGGCUGCUGAGAGAAUUAUGUGAAACAGCAUGCUUGGAACAGUGCCUAGCAUAAAACACUGCUUCUGGCCAGGUGCGGUGGCCCAUGCCUGUAAUGCCAGAACUUUGGGAGGCUGAGGCAGGCAGAUCACUGGGGGCUGUGAUGUGAGCUGAGAUGGUGCCACUGCACUCCAGGCUGGGCAACAGAGACCCUGUCUCAAAAGCAUAAAAAUAAAUAAAAAUAAUGAACUGCUGGGCGCAGUGGCUCACGGUUGUAAUUCCAGCAUUCCGGGAGGCCGAAGCGGUUGGAUCACUUGAGGCCAGGAGUUUGAAACCAACCUGGUUAACAUGAUGAAACCCAGUCUCUACUAAAAAUACAAAAAUUAGCUGGGUGUGGUGGUGGGCGCCUGUAAUCCCUGCUACCUGGGAGGCUGAGGCAGGAGAACUGCUUGAACCCAGGAGGUGGCAGUGAGCCGAGAUUGUGCCACUGCACUCCAGCCUGGGCGACAGGGUGAGACACUGUCUCAAAAAAAUUUUUUUAAUAAAUAGAAAAAUUAAAAAUAAUAAAUAAAUACCAGAGAUGACCCCCAGUGAGGACGGAAUGUAUUGUCCUAUGCUCCCAGCAUGUGGGAUUGGUCUAGAAAUGGCAGGACAGGUGAGGGCCCCUUACCACGAGCAGGGCGAAGAGGAUGACUCCACAGCUCCACAUGUCUGCCCGGCGCCCGUCAUACUUCUCCCCCUGGAAGGGAAAGGCCAGUUGUGACUACACCACCCUCACUGCCGCCGCCACCCCUCUCCCCUCCACCUGCCCCUCACUCACCUUAAUCACCUCUGGACACGCAUAAUGGGGGGACCUGAGGGAGAGAGCUGAUGUGAGCCUCCAGCCGGCUUGUACGCCCCUGCCCAGGGCCUCGGGAGGCGGACGCGCACUCACCCGCAGCUGGUCUCCAGGAGGCUGUCCCCCACCUGCAGGGACGCCAUGCCGAAGUCUGCAAUGCGGAUGUUGUUUUUCUCAUCCAAAAGCAGGUUCUCGGGCUUCAGGUCUCUGUGGCUGCGACAGCCAGGUGGGGCUCAGGCCUCUUCCUUCCUCCCAGGAGGCCCAGGCCCCACUUGCUGGCUCUCACAGUGGAACACUGCUGCAUACUUUUGGGUUUUUCAGGGGGUGAGAGACCAUUAAUUAUCAUUCAUUUAUUUUGGUCUUUUUUUUUUUUUUUGAGAUGGAGUUUUGCUCUUGUUACCCAGGCUAGAGUACAAUGGAGAGAUCUCGGCUCA